GUCUAUGGCCAUACCACUCUGAAUGUGCCUAAUCUUGUCUGAUCUCGACAGCUAAACAGGGUUGGGCCUGGUUGGUACUACUACGGGAGAAAAUAUCAUUCAAAGACC
ensembl:rRNA 5S_rRNA 5S ribosomal RNA